UACGUAGGUGGCAAGCGUUACUCGGAAUUACUAGGCGUAAAGCGCAGGUAGGUGGUUGGAUAAGUCCGUAAUGAAAUCUCCCGGCUUAACUGGGAGGGGCUUGGGGAUACUGUCCGACUCGAGUGUGGGAGAGGUAACUGGAAUUCCUGGUGUAGCGGUGAAAUGCGUAGAUAUCAGGAGGAACACCUAUGGCGAAAGCAGGUUACUGGCCCAAUACUGACACUGAGCUGCGAAAGCUAGGGGAGCAAACAGG
rnacentral:rRNA from 1 species